rnacentral:rRNA from 1 species
CUUGCUUCUCUGAUGUUAGCGGCGGACGGGUGAGUAACACGUGGAUAACCUACCUAUAAGACUGGGAUAACUUCGGGAAACCGGAGCUAAUACCGGAUAAUAUUUUGAACCGCAUGGUUCAAAAGUGAAAGACGGUCUUGCUGUCACUUAUAGAUGGAUCCGCGCUGCAUUAGCUAGUUGGUAAGGUAACGGCUUACCAAGGCAACGAUGCAUAGCCGACCUGAGAGGGUGAUCGGCCACACUGGAACUGAGACACGGUCCAGACUCCUACGGGAGGCAGCAGUAGGGAAUCUUCCGCAAUGGGCGAAAGCCUGACGGAGCAACGCCGCGUGAGUGAUGAAGGUCUUCGGAUCGUAAAACUCUGUUAUUAGGGAAGAACAUAUGUGUAAGUAACUGUGCACAUCUUGACGGUACCUAAUCAGAAAGCCACGGCUAACUACGUGCCAGCAGCCGCGGUAAUACGUAGGUGGCAAGCGUUAUCUGGAAUUAUUGGGCGUAAAGCGCGCGUAGGCGGUUUUUUAAGUCUGAUGUGAAAGCCCACGGCUCAACCGUGGAGGGUCAUUGGAAACUGGAAAACUUGAGUGCAGAAGAGGAAAGUGGAAUUCCAUGUGUAGCGGUGAAAUGCGCAGAGAUAUGGAGGAACACCAGUGGCGAAGGCGACUUUCCGGUCUGUAACUGACGCUGAUGUGCGAAAGCGUGGGGAUCAAACAGGAUUAGAUACCCUGGUAGUCCACGCCGUAAACGAUGAGUGCUAAGUGUUAGGGGGUUUCCGCCCCUUAGUGCUGCAGCUAACGCAUUAAGCACUCCGCCUGGGGAGUACGACCGCAAGGUUG